UGGGGAAUAUUGCACAAUGGGCGAAAGCCUGAUGCAGCAACGCCGCGUGAGUGAUGAAGGUCUUCGGAUUGUAAAGCUCUGUCUUUCGGGACGAUAAUGACGGUACCAAAGGAGGAAGCCACGGCUAACUACGUGCCAGCAGCCGCGGUAAUACGUAGGUGGCGAGCGUUGUCCGGAUUUACUGGGCGUAAAGGGUGCGUAGGCGGAUGUUUAAGUGAGAUGUGAAAUACCCGGGCUUAACUUGGGUGCUGCAUUUCAAACUGGAUAUCUAGAGUGCAGGAGAGGAGAAUGGAAUUCCUAGUGUAGCGGUGAAAUGCGUAGAGAUUAGGAAGAACACCAGUGGCGAAGGCGAUUCUCUGGACUGUAACUGACGCUGAGGCACGAAAGCGUGGGUAGCAAACAGGAUUAGAUACCCUGGUAGUCCACGCCGUAAACGAUGAGUACUAGGUGUAGGAGGUAUCGACCCCUUCUGUGCCGCAGUAAACGCAAUAAGUACUCCGCCUGGGAAGUACGAUC
rnacentral:rRNA from 1 species